rnacentral:misc_RNA from 1 species
AAGUCGUAACAAGGUUUCCGUAGGUGAACCUGCGGAAGGAUCAUUAAAGAGAUAGGGUCCCUCGGGGCCCGACCUCCCAACCCUUUGUCUACCAAACCACUGUUGCCUCGGCGGGCCGUUGGCUCCCCUAACCGGUUGCCUCCGUCGGCCCUCGCGCUCUCGAGUGCCCGCCGCAGGACUAUUAAACCCUUUUUUAAAACGAGUACAAUCUGAGUGGAAUUUAAUGCUUCAAUUAAAACUUUCAACAACGGAUCUCUUGGUUCUG